UGUUAAAAUUUUUAUUUAUUUGUAUUGUUAAAAAUUGAUGUGAUUGAUGAAAUAAUCAGAUAAUGACACAUAACGUGUCAUAUGUACCUCAUACUAAUGUACAAAGACCAAUUUUUAAUAGUAAAAAUUGACAGAAUUUUUAAUA
rfam:Gossypium hirsutum cultivar TM-1 chromosome 5, whole genome shotgun sequence